CAUCUCCACCAAUCGCGUCUCACUGGCGGGGGUUGUGCCAUAAAUGUCGCGCGGCUUAUUGCCGGAUACCGUCGCUAGAUCGGCGCUACCGUGUACCAAGCCGCGGUAUACUAGUCCACACUUUUGGCGGCAGUCGCCCAGUCUAAGGUCCAAACUCCGAACCGAACGGUCGCCCGAAAUACUUAGCGAACGAGCGUGGUUAGCAGUUCAGUAGAAAGCGUUUCAGUGGCAAAAUGGACGCGCGAUUCAAAAGCAACCUCGACAUGAUCGGACGCAACGAGCCAAUCACAAGAAAGGCGAAAUUUUGGCAGAGUUACGUGCGGGCCCUGAAAGGCACAGACGACAUCAGAGCUCCCGAGCAUACUCACAGGCCCCGCAGCAUUUUCCGCUCGGACUUUCCUGAGCUGCAUUCCCCCUCGUGGCCGUUUGGAAAGUCAAUCUUCGAAAACCCGAUUCACGCAGCUGACCGUAUUAACGUUCCCGGAUACAGGUACCUACCCGUGCACCGUGAGAUUUACGGCUACUCGCCGAGGCAGCUGUAUCCCCAUCAGUACAAACCCGUAGAACGCUUCGUCCCCGCGAAACCAUUCGACGCUGAGAAGGCCUGGACCGACCAUCUGAACCGUUUGGCGGACAUCGACAGGCUCUAUCCGAGCAGAUCGCCGCUUCUGGCUCGCCACUUAAGCCCGCCGCUCAGUACGAAACGAUUGUUCGACAUUCACGGUAAUCUCGUGGACGACGACUUCUUGUUGCCGCGUCCAUCCAUCUUGCUCCGCAAGAAGCCAUUUUUCGAUCUCCUGGAGCCUUCACCGAUGGCGCCCAUCAGCGCGUUCACCAGGGACCCGUGGUGGUACCCGAGCUACGCGCCUUACAUACCGAGCUACGCUCAGUACCGCACACCGUUUUACCUGAGGGACAGCUACCUCAGUCCGAUUAAGCGUAGCUAUCUGUGGAGCCGACAUCCCAUCAGGCCCUUCGACUGUGUUAUCGCUACAAGAAUGUUCUUUGAAACUUGUGGUAAUUAUUAAUGUAAUUACCGUGCCCCGCCUACUCCACCGAGGAGCUCCGUUGGCAGAAUGUCGAAUACGCGCUCACGUCUACUGAUGUCUAUUCGGCGCCACACGGAAAGCGUGAAACUACGAUGAAAAUACGAUGAAAAAAGGAAAAUAAAGCCCGAAAAAAGAAUUGACAAAAGAAAAAAAAAAAAAGAAAUAAAGAGGACACGUGCAUCACGUUCCGAAAGAGUUUUGGCGUCACUUAUUACAGUGCACAUCGUCCACACGGAGUUUUAUUUAUCAACAUCUCCCGUCACAUAUUUUAUUGUACUAUUCAAUCGUGAUUCGUCUACGAAAUAAAAUAAACACUGCCAAAAUUUUA